rnacentral:rRNA from 2 species
CAUAUCAAUAAGCGGAGGAAAAGAAACCAACAGGGAUUGCCCCAGUAACGGCGAGUGAAGCGGCAACAGCUCAAAUUUGAAAUCUGGCCCCUAGGGCCCGAGUUGUAAUUUGCAGAGGAUGCUUUUGGCGAGGUGCCUUCCGAGUUCCCUGGAACGGGACGCCAUAGAGGGUGAGAGCCCCGUCUGGUUGGAUACCGAGCCUCUGUAAAGCUCCUUCGACGAGUCGAGUAGUUUGGGAAUGCUGCUCUAAAUGGGAGGUAUAUGUCUUCUAAAGCUAAAUAUUGGCCAGAGACCGAUAGCGCACAAGUAGAGUGAUCGAAAGAUGAAAAGCACUUUGAAAAGAGGGUUAAAAAGUACGUGAAAUUGUUGAAAGGGAAGCACUCAUGACCAGACUUGGGCCCGGUGAAUCACCCAGCGUUCUUCGCUGGGGCACUUUGCCGGGGUCAGGCCAGCAUCAGUUCGUGCCGGGGGACAAAGACUUCGGGAAUGUGGCUCCUCCGGGAGUGUUAUAGCCCGUUGUGCAAUACCCUGGGGCGGACUGAGGUUCGCGCAUUUAUGCAAGGAUGCUGGCGUAAUGGUCAUCAGUGAC